rnacentral:rRNA from 1 species
UACGUAGGGUGCAAGCGUUGUCCGGAAUUAUUGGGCGUAAAGAGCUCGUAGGCGGUCUGUCGCGUCGAAUGUGAAAAUCCGGGGCUCAACCCCGGACCUGCAUUCGAUACGGGCAGACUAGAGUUCGGUAGGGGAGUCUGGAAUUCCUGGUGUAGCGGUGAAAUGCGCAGAUAUCAGGAGGAACACCGGUGGCGAAGGCGGGACUCUGGGCCGAUACUGACGCUGGAGGAGCGAAAGCGUGGGGAGCAAACAGG